AUGCUAGAAUUUUUUCAUAAUAUUCCUCCUAGUUUAGCCUCCUGGCCUUUCCUCAGUAAAAGAGACCUUUUCCUUCUCUCUUACAGAAUGAAGGAUGAGCAGGCUUACCAGAUUAGCAGUUCUUCUCCCCCUCCCCCUGUACAGCCCGCUCUUGCAAAUAUUACUACGUACAACUUUGUACUAAACCAGCGACAAGUAAUAUGGAUUGGAGGGAGUACUUGUUUUACUAAAUUUGUACUGUCGAGCCUCCCCUGUAAUUUUCCGUUCAAAAAAUAUAUAUCAUGUUCAGGGUUGGAAAUUAGGUUUCUCAUGCUUAAUAAGGAGAGUAAAACAGAUGUAUAA
rnacentral:rRNA from 1 species